rnacentral:rRNA from 1 species
AGUGAACGCUGGCGGUAGGCCUAACACAUGCAAGUCGAACGGCAGCACAGUAAGAGCUUGCUCUUACGGGUGGCGAGUGGCGGACGGGUGAGGAAUACAUCGGAAUCUACUUUUUCGUGGGGGAUAACGUAGGGAAACUUACGCUAAUACCGCAUACGACCUACGGGUGAAAGCAGGGGAUCUUCGGACCUUGCGCGAUUGAAUGAGCCGAUGUCGGAUUAGCUAGUUGGCGGGGUAAAGGCCCACCAAGGCGACGAUCCGUAGCUGGUCUGAGAGGAUGAUCAGCCACACUGGACCUGAGCCACGGUCCAGACUCCUACGGGAGGCAGCAGUGGGGAAUAUUGGACAAUGGGCGCAAGCCUGAUCCAGCCCUACCGCGUGGGUGAAGAAGGCCUUCGGGUUGUAAAGCCCUUUUGUUGGGAAAGAAAAGCAGCAGGUUAAUACCCCGCUGUUCUGACGGUACCCAAAGAAUAAGCACCGGCUAACUUCGUG